ensembl:lncRNA
GCUAUUUCUUUGGAUUUCAAUCUUUUUGCUGGGUUAUAAUAAAAGAUGCACCAUUCUUUUCAAGGACUACCUCCCCUUUAUUUGCAUUUCCUAUGUCAAUUUAGCGUUAUUAAAACCAGAACCAAAAUAUCGAUCCCUACAAAGGUCUAAUAUCUGGGCAGAAGCUAAUUUCCCCAAAAUAUCUUCCCAGAGCUCGGCCUUUAACAGUUUGGUGGAGAACGGGGCAUUGGAACUCGUUAAAUACACGUGUUUAAAGUAACGUGGGAAUCGUGUACACGAGUUUGGGCGCUAAUUUGGCUAGAAAGUGCUCUAUCUGAUUGGAUCUUUACCAAAAAGUGAUUUUUAAGUGCACAGCAAACUGUUUUGGAAGUUUUUUUCCUGUUUUUGUGAAAUUUGGUAGUUUUUCCGCAAUUUUGAGAAAGGGAACAUGGCAGAAGGUUUGUUGUUUAGGAAAGAGGAAAAACCAGACAAACUAAGGCAAUGGAUAGAAGCCCAGGGUUCAUGCAUAUGGCAUCCUGAAAUUUUCAAGAAUAAAGAAAGGGUAAAAGAAAUCCUUGUACGUGGUUAUGAAGAAUAUUUUUCCAAAUUUAAAUUUAAUAGAGAAACUAAAACAUCAGUUGCAAUAUGGGGUACUUGGAAAGCAAUUGGGGCUUUAGAAGAAACAGUACAGGCCAAAGAGGAGAUUAUUUCAGACUUGAGGCAGCAAUUGAAAGUAUGUUCUCAAGACUGGGCUGACCNUACAGAGCAAAUGAAAAAAGAGAUAGAAAAAGAAAGAGAACAACAGGCAGAAAUGAGGGUAAGAGAAGAGAAGGAAAAAGAGGAAUUGAGAAGACAGCUAGAAUUAGAAAGGGAGAAAUUUCAGUUAGAGAUAGCAGAAUUACGCAGACAGUUGCAGGUCGAGAGUGAAAGAUCUCAGCUGGCUCAAACCUCUGCUACUGCAGAAAANGUUCAGCUAGUAGAAGCUUUGCGGGAAUCAAGAGGCAAACUAUUAGAAGUACAAGAAGCUAAGGAAGAUGUUGGGNGCCAGUUGCUAGUAGUACAAAAGCAGCUAGAAGAGGCUAAAGCAACUGCCUCAUAUCUAGUGGCUCACGCCCAUGAUAAAAUGGGGAGUGUUUCACAUGANUUGUGUGANGAAAGGAUUAGAGAAUUAGAAUGGAAAUUACAGACACACCAAGGCGUUAUUGCAGCUGUAAAAGCUCAAAAUGCUCCUAUGGUAGUGGCAGAAGCACUUUUGGCUCCUGUACGUGCGUGUGAAACCUCUGCAAGCCAGGCUUUACAAAGUACUGGUGGUAAUGGGUCCAAAGCCCUUUUGCCUAGGGUGGAGGAAACUAAAUGGAUUCCUCCUACCAAUAAAAGCAGGAUGGCCCCCNUUAAGAUAAAGGAUAUUAGCAAGAUUGGGGAUGGAGGAGCCAUUACUAGAGAAAAGGUGACAGAAUCUUUUCCCUUUAAGAUGCAAGAAAUCCAAGCUUUGGCAAAACAAUUUGGUGUUUUAAACAAGGAAACAUGCAUUGAAUGGAUUUCUAAGGUGUGGCAGCAAUCGGAACUAUGGAGUGGGCAGGAUCUUACACAGUUAGCACGGGCAUGCAUUACUCCUUCUGAUGCCCCGGCUAUGGAAAUUGAAAUUUCUUCCGUUUCUUCUUCGACGGAUACGAUGGCUGAUUGGGCUGCAGCAAUGCUACAAACUUUUCAUCCUGGUAAAAGUUUAACCCGUAUCUUCCAAAAUGAAGUGCAGUCCCCUUAUGAAUACCCAGAAAUG